CAGCUGUCAGCAUUACAGCCUGUUCGAUAUCACCAUUACGCCAUACAGAUCUAUCUAUCUUCGAGAAAACCUGUAUCCAGUAUGCUGAGAACUGCUUUGCUCGUCCUCGUUCUGAUUUGCUGUGCAGCUGUCGUGUUGGGCUGCUCCAGGAACUCAGACUGUGACAAGUUUUGCCAAAAUAUGUACGGCUCUACCUGGACGGCGUUCGCGCCAACCUGCCUACUGGGCAAGUGCGAAUGCAUUCUUGUCCACGGAUAAAAUUUGGUUUUUCUGGGGAGGAGGUUGUCGGUCUAAUCGACGAAUAUGUAUGGUUAUCCUUAAAGUAGAAACCAUUUUACUUUUUCUGUUUGGGACCCAAAUCUUCAAAUGAAUAAAUUUUUAGCCCAUCUUCUA